rnacentral:rRNA from 1 species
AACGAACGCUGGCGGCAUGCCUAACACAUGCAAGUCGAACGAUGGUCUUCGGAUCAUAGUGGCGCACGGGUGCGUAACGCGUGGGAAUCUGCCCUUGGGUUCGGAAUAACAGUUGGAAACGACUGCUAAUACCGGAUGAUGUCGAUAAGACCAAAGAUUUAUCGCCCGAGGAUGAGCCCACGUCGGAUUAGCUAGUUGGUGGGGUAAAGGCCUACCAAGGCGACGAUCCGUAGCUGGUCUGAGAGGAUGAUCAGCCACACUGGGACUGAGACACGGCCCAGACUCCUACGGGAGGCAGCAGUGGGGAAUAUUGGACAAUGGGCGCAAGCCUGAUCCAGCAAUGCCGCGUGAGUGAUGAAGGCCUUAGGGUUGUAAAGCUCUUUUACCCGGGAAGAUAAUGACUGUACCGGGAGAAUAAGCCCCGGCUAACUCCGUG